rnacentral:tRNA from 1 species
GCCUUCGUGGUGUAGUGGUCAGCACGCUCGACGCGUAACCGAGAGGUCCGUGGUUCGAUUCCCGAUGAAGGCG